UACGUAGGUGGCAAGCGUUGUCCGGAAUUAUUGGGCGUAAAGCGCGCGCAGGUGGUUUCUUAAGUCUGAUGUGAAAGCCCACGGCUCAACCGUGGAGGGUCAUUGGAAACUGGGGAACUUGAGUGCAGAAGAGGAAAGUGGGAUUCCAAGUGUAGCGGUGAAAUGCGUAGAGAUUUGGAGGAACACCAGUGGCGAAGGCGACUUUCUGGUCUGUAACUGACACUGAGGC
rnacentral:rRNA from 1 species